AGGACGAACGCUGGCGGCGUGCUUAACACAUGCAAGUCGAGCGGAAAGGCCCUUCGGGGUACUCGAGCGGCGAACGGGUGAGUAACACGUGAGCAACCUGCCCUUGGCUCUGGGAUAGCCUCCGGAAACGGGGAUUAAUACCGGACAUUCACUUUCUCCUGCAUGGGGGGUUGGUGGAAAGUUUUUCGGCCAGGGAGGGGCUCGCGGCCUAUCAGCUUGUUGGCGGGGUAACGGCCCACCAAGGCGACGACGGGUAGCCGGCCUGAGAGGGCGAUCGGCCACACUGGGACUGAGACACGGCCCAGACUCCUACGGGAGGCAGCAGUGGGGAAUAUUGCACAAUGGGCGCAAGCCUGAUGCAGCGACGCCGCGUGGGGGAUGAAGGCCUUCGGGUUGUAAACCCCUUUCACCAGGAGCGAAUUCAGACGGUACCUGGGAAGAAGCGCCGGCUAACUACGUGCCAGCAGCCGC
rnacentral:rRNA from 1 species